rnacentral:rRNA from 1 species
AGAUUGAACGCUGGCGGCAUGCCUAACACAUGCAAGUCGAACGGGAGUAGCAAUACUCUAGUGGCGGACGGGUGAAGAAUACGUAGGAAUUUGCCCUUAAGUGGGGGAUAACCCGGGGAAACCCGGAUUAAUACCGCAUGACCUCAAAAGAGCAAAGUGGGGGAUCGCAAGACCUCACGCUUUUGGAGAAGCCUACGUCGGAUUAGCUAGUUGGUGAGGGAAUGGCUCACCAAGGCGACGAUCCGUAACUGGUCUGAGAGGAUGAUCAGUCACACCGGACUGAGACACGGUCCGACUCCUACGGGAGCAGCAGUGGGGAAUAGUUGGACAAGU